AUUGAACGCUGGCGGCAUGCCCUACACAUGCAAGUCGAACGGCAGCAUGAUCUAGCUUGCUAGAUUGAUGGCGAGUGGCGAACGGGUGAGUAAUACAUCGGAACGUGCCCUGUAGUGGGGGAUAACUAGUCGAAAGAUUAGCUAAUACCGCAUACGACCUGAGGGUGAAAGUGGGGGACCGCAAGGCCUCAUGCUAUAGGAGCGGCCGAUGUCUGAUUAGCUAGUUAGUGAGGUAAAGGCUCACCAAGGCGACGAUCAGUAGCUGGUCUGAGAGGACGAUCAGCCACACUGGGACUGAGACACGGCCCAGACUCCUACGGGAGGCAGCAGUGGGGAAUUUUGGACAAUGGGCGAAAGCCUGAUCCAGCAAUGCCGCGUGUGUGAAGAAGGCCUUCGGGUUGUAAAGCACUUUUGUCCGGAAAGAAAUGGCUCUGGUUAAUACCUGGGGUCGAUGACGGUACCGGAAGAAUAAGGACCGGCUAACUACGUG
rnacentral:rRNA from 1 species